CAGCAGCCGCCGCGGUAAUACGUAGGUGGCAAGCGUUGUCCGGAAUUAUUGGGCGUAAAGGGCUCGCAGGCGGUUUCUUAAGUCUGAUGUGAAAGCCCCCGGCUCAACCGGGGAGGGUCAUUGGAAACUGGGAAACUUGAGUGCAGAAGAGGAGAGUGGAAUUCCACGUGUAGCGGUGAAAUGCGUAGAGAUGUGGAGGAACACCAGUGGCGAAGGCGACUCUCUGGUCUGUAACUGACGCUGAGGAGCGAAAGCGUGGGGAGCGAACAGGAUUAGAUACCCGAGUAGUCCCUGUCUCUUAUAC
rnacentral:rRNA from 1 species